CUGAGCUGUUACCAUGUAUUUCCUAAGUCUCUCUGUAUACCACUACUCCUCGUUCUGUUCCCGUAUUGCAAGCUGUAAUUGAAGGAGAGCUUUUUUGGAUUCAUCUCGCUGGUCAUAGCUCGCGUUCUGUAUGCGCAUCUGACUUUUUUGAGUUUCUGUUUCUCUUGGGAGCAAUAGAUCUCUCUGGUGUAACUUGUGUCCUUAUCAUGUCACCAUGAUUUAGAGACGCCUUGCUUUGUUGCUUCUUCUUCAUCCUCAACUCGUCUUUUUUCCCCUUCCAUUUUUAUCUAUUUCUUCUGACAAUGAUAUCAAAGUUAUAGCCUCUUCAGCCUCUAGAGAAAGGAGGGAGGGAAAAAAAAAAGCGAAGUUUUUGGGCCAUCUAUAAUAUUUGAUUGCUUGUUUUGUUGUUUUUCUCUAGUUUUCUUUUGUUUGUGAGCGUGGUUUAUUUUUAUAGAUCAGACUCAAUAGACUAAAUUUAACGACAAUGGCACCCUCGUUCGAUUGGUGGGCUAAGGAUGGCCAUAGAGGCACACCCGUGGUGGUCAAAAUGGAGAACCCCAACUGGUCAAUGUUCGAGCUUCAGGGUCCAUCCGAAGAAGAUUUCCUCAUCGGUGACUCACCGUCUCGUCCCCAUGACAAGUCCCGUAACAAGAACGCCAAGCAGCUCACUUGGGUUCUUCUCCUCAAAGCCCACAAGACCGCCGGUUGUUUAACCUCCAUUGCCUCGGCAAUUGUCUCCCUUGGCUCCGUCAUCAAGCGCCGUCUCCGCUCUGGCCGCACUGAUACGGAUAUCGAAGUUGAUGGGGACGCCGGCCGGGAAAAUGAGAACCCAACAGUCAAAAGCCGGUUCUACUCCUGCAUCAAGGUGUUUCUAUGGCUCUCAGUUUUACUCUUGGGGUUCGAGAUGGCUGCCUAUUUUAAGGGCUGGCAUUUUGGUGCUCCGCAUCUCCAAUUGCAGUACCUGUUAGCGACACCAUUUGGGUUUAAGGACAUUUUUGAUUCUUUGUAUUCUCGAUGGGUUUUGAUUCGCGUGGAGUAUCUCACUCCUCCCUUGCAAUUCCUUGCCAAUUUGUGUAUUGUGCUCUUCCUUAUCCAGAGUUUGGACAGGCUUCUACUCUGUUUGGGCUGCUUCUGGAUCCGAUUCAAGAAGAUAAAACCCAUUCCCAAACAGGACGCAAUUGCCGAUCUUGAAUCCGGCGAAAAUGGCUUCUUUCCUAUGGUUCUUGUCCAGAUCCCCAUGUGCAACGAGAAAGAGGUUUAUCAACAAUCAAUUGCUGCCGUGUGCAAUUUGGACUGGCCAAAAUCCAAGAUUCUAAUUCAAGUUCUAGACGAUUCUGACGACCCAACCUCGCAAUUGUUGAUUAACGAAGAGGUGAACAAAUGGCAGCAAGAGGGUGCCAACAUUGUGUAUAGGCAUCGAGUAGUCAGAGAAGGGUAUAAAGCUGGUAAUCUCAAGUCUGCAAUGAAUUGCAGCUAUGUCAAAGACUAUGAAUUUGUUGCUAUUUUCGAUGCUGAUUUCCAGCCUGCACCCGAUUUUCUGAAAAGAACAGUACCUCACUUUAAGGAUAACGAAAAGCUUGGGCUUGUUCAAGCAAGAUGGUCCUUUGUGAACAAGGAUGAGAACUUGCUCACAAGGCUCCAAAACAUCAAUCUGUGCUUCCAUUUUGAAGUGGAACAACAAGUAAAUGGUGCUUUUCUCAAUUUCUUUGGGUUCAAUGGAACAGCAGGUGUGUGGAGAAUUAAGGCUUUAGAGGAUUCAGGAGGGUGGCUUGAGAGGACAACAGUUGAGGAUAUGGACAUUGCUGUUCGAGCACACUUAAAUGGAUGGAAAUUCAUCUUCCUCAAUGAUGUAAAAGUCCUCUGCGAGUUGCCAGAAUCUUAUGAAGCUUAUAAGAAACAGCAGCAUCGCUGGCAUUCUGGUCCUAUGCAACUGUUCCGCUUGUGCCUUCCUGCUAUAAUCACUUCCAAGAUACCAAUGUGGAAGAAGUCCAACCUCAUAUUUCUUUUCUUUCUUUUGAGGAAACUUAUACUUCCCUUCUACUCAUUUACACUGUUCUGUAUCAUUCUUCCAUUGACAAUGUUCAUACCAGAGGCAGAACUACCUCUUUGGGUGAUUUGUUACAUACCCAUUUUCAUGUCCUUCUUGAACAUUCUUCCUGCCCCCAAAUCCUUCCCUUUCUUGGUCCCAUACCUGCUCUUUGAGAACACCAUGUCUGUAACAAAGUUCAAUGCCAUGGUAUCAGGGCUAUUUCAGCUUGGAAGCGCUUAUGAAUGGGUUGUCACAAAGAAGACAGGAAGAUCAUCAGAGUCUGAUUUAUUAGCUUUUUCUGAAAGGGAAUCGAAAUCUUCAAAUGAGGAGAAAAUCCUUAGGAGACACUCAGAGUCUGGUUUGAAUUUGAUAAGUAAACUCCAGGAACAAGAAGCACCUAGAGUAAAAAAGAGAAAUAGACUCUACAGGAAGGAGCUUGCACUUGCUUUUCUUCUGCUAAUUGCAGCAGCAAGAAGCCUGUUAUCUGCACAUGGAGUUCAUUUCUACUACUUGCUGUUCCAAGGUUUAUCUUUUCUAGUUGUUGGCUUGGACUUGAUUGGUGAGCAGGUAAGCUGAGAAGCAGCUAGCAUAUUUGAUUUUCCUGAUUAAGCUUAAGGCUAAAGCAUUUUGAUGUUUAUAAAGAAUCAGAAAAAGAAAAAAAGAAAAAAGAGGUCCAGUUCCCUGGCAACCAACUUUCAAUGGAACUGGUUUACUCCACAGACAGAAGUUGAUAUAACGCUACUGGAAUUUACUAGGCAAAAGGUAAGGGUGAGAAGAGUUGAGUUUGUACAAUACCGUGCAUGUUAUCCAAGUCUGAAUAAUUAAUGAUGAGCCAAUAUAAAAAUUAUAUUUUUGAAA
rnacentral:misc_RNA from 1 species